rnacentral:misc_RNA from 1 species
GACACGUUUUAAACACUAGCAGAUUUCGCGUCAAAGCACACUGUUUUGUUACGACGAAAAAAAAAUUAAAGAACAAAAACAAAACAAAACCGAGGCGAAUUUUCAACCCCGUCGUUGACGCCGGAGUUAUAAACUUUAAAGUUUGAAGUUCUUCUUCACGUUUCAAAAUAUAAACUUUACUUCUUGCCAUUUCAAUAUUCUCUAAACAGGAUACGAGAUCCGCCAAAACGGUACAAGCUAAGUUUUGUGUACAAGCUAAGUUUUAAAAAGUUUUAAAACGAUAUCUUAGAAUUUGUACCCACUUCCCACUGAUUAACCAGGCAUUAAACGAGGUUCGUACCCGUUGUUCCUUUUCUCUUCUGAUUAUCCCUAUUAGCAUGUGCUUGUUUGUCUCAAUACCUCAAAAUCAUCUUGCGCGUCGUCGAAUCUCUGGUAACUGCCCCUUAAUAUGAAAUCUUUCCAUUCUUAGGUCAAGAAAUUCAAUAUAAAUUGUUCAACAUAAAUGGAUGAACAUAAAGAAAGAACAUGAAUAUCAAUGUCAGUUCCUUUGCCAUUGUUUAUCUUUGUCCUACUUGUAAUGAGAUCAAGAUCAUCUGCUUAUAUCAUUUGUGAAUUGUGUGAAAGUGUUCAGCUUACUUGAUAACUUGUAUGAAACUCAACAUGAAUUGUUCACCAUAAAUGAAUGAACAUAAAGACCUAGAACAUGAAUAUCAAUCUCCGUUUCUUCGCCAUUGUUUAUCGUUGUCUAUCUUCUAAUGGAAAUAAGACGAUCCUUAAAGACUACCUGCUUUUCGUUCGUGUCAAAGUGUCCAUGCAGCUUACGCGUGAAUAUUACAACGCAAUGUGCGUACAUGGAGAGGCAUCGUGCAGUAAAAUUCAACCAGAACAAGUAAGUGUAUUUUAAAAUUCUGUCGUGAAAUAGCCUGCGCGAAUGAAACGUCCAGAUGUCUUGAAAUGCCGAGAAAUUACACAGUAAUAUACACAAUUAUUGAAUGGAGAAAGCUAGAAAAUCGAUUUGCCUGCAAUGGCAGUGAAUUAUCAAUUUUGAAUUGAGGGAAAAAAGUAUACUACGUAUUUGGCUUCACGUUCACCUAAUUUAGAAAAUCAAAUCAAAGCCAUGUACGAAAGAAAAUUUGUGUACUAAUUUUAUUGGGCUCCCAUAAUUUCUCAUUGUAUAAUAAUCAUACUGAUUUAAAGAAAACCAUGCACUUGUUAUGAGGAACACUUCUGUUUCCCUAAACUGCAAAGUAUAUACGUUAAGGAUGAGCUUUAUGAAAGAUUAACAUAUAAAUAUAUAACAUAUAUCAAGACUAUAUGACAUAUAGAAAUGCAGAGUUUUAAAUCGGGUUAACACUUUUCCAAAGCAUAGGGUAUUAUAUUAUAUGCAUAGGUUACAUGUAAUGUUUUAUGAGCACAGUAUGUUUUUUAUUUUCAUUAAUUUUUGGGAUCGUUUUUCGUUUCCCAUCGUUCUCAUCAUCCAUUAGUUUUCUCAAAACGCUUCGCUGCAGGCUUAACUAGCAUCAUCCGGGACAUCUGCCAGAUUGUAUGCAAGGAUCUGGAGAAAUUGAGAAAGCUCGGGUUAAUCGCUAUCGCUCGAUCAUCAUUAGGUUAUGAUCUUUACUACAGCAAAUUCAUUUUCCCAUUUUUCUUAUAACUGGGUCAUCAAGGGAUUAAGAGAUCUAUAUAACAUAAAGAAUUUCUUAGCAAGAGUGGAUAACUGUCUGACACAUUCACGUUAGCUUAGAUAUUAAUUUUGUAGUCGAGAUGAAUAUUGAUGUAUAAGUAUCUGUCAUGACGUUUCUAAUCACCUCUGUGAGGGAUCCAAGCUCGGCCAGGGCUUCUUUGCUAAUGUAAUUUGGGACCCUUUGUGGCCUGGUCGCAUCGUUAGUGGUGUCUAGAUGUAAAAUAAAAUGUCAUUUUGUAAUCUCAUCAUCCAUUUGACCAUUAGUUUUAUUAAAACGCUCCCCUGCAGCCUUUUAGUAGAACCGGGACAUCUACCAGAUUGUAUCUAAGGGCAUAGAGAAGUUGAUGCAGCUCGGGUUGCUCCCCUGAACUGAUGUUGAUUUAUGAUUAAAGGUAAUAAUAAAAUACAGGAGCUGUAUUUUGUUAACUACUUAUCGUUAGCUAUACCGAUAUUAACCAUUACCCUGACGAGAAAUAGUUUCGCCAUUUUUUUAUCCUGAAUUUCCCAAAGACAAUAAUAAUACACAAAGAAUGGUAAUAUGAUAAUGAUAGUAAUAUACACAAAGAAUAGUGAAUAAAACGUUUUUGUUGGCACUGAUAUUGUUAACUGGCAACAAUGAAGCAACGAAAUAUCGCUCGUUUGUUUAAAGGAAUAUAAAAAGAAAAUUAUACCUUCGCACAACACGACUCCCAUCAUGGAAUUCGGCCAUUUCAGUUAACUCUACGGUCCAUCGCCAUCGUGGCUCAUUGACAACUAUAUAUAAGUUAUGUGUUUCCUACGAACCUCAGAGAGACGUUUGUUGCUGCUUCAUCGUACUUUCAUCAUUUCUCAAAAAGCGAUUGCAAAAUUGCAAAUUGUGGAAAAUCAUGUUUCUCUUUUCCAAAGUCUUUUUCUGAUGCAUUUAAAAAAGAUUUUGGAACUGCAAGGCGAUUAAAAAUUUUUGCCUUGGUUGAAUUGCUAGUUUUGUCUCAAACAUUUGGGUCAGUAAUUUUGUAUCUAUCAUGCACAUCCUACCUAGAUUGAUGCAAAUACGAAAAAUUCAAGUUGGGUUUAGUUCACUGAAGAACAUUGUUUUCAAAUUAGAUAUUAAGAAAUGCUGUUUAGCAAUGUGGAAUAGUCAAAAAUAAAUAAAAUGCCUCUUUUUAUAUCUAAUUGCGGUCAGUGCGAUAAUUAAUUACUACAAUGCUUUGCGCGGACGCGAUGGCGUAAAAAGAUUUGACGCAAUAAUUAGCUUUGUCAUAAUUGAUUGACUGCGCAAGUGAAAACAUUACUUUUUACCCGUGAAAAUUCUUUUGAAAUGGCGAGUAAUCAAAAUCGAUAUCGGUUGGAUAAAUACUCUGGAAGAAAGUAUCAGCCACCGCUUCUAGAAUUUCUACAAAUACAAAACUACGUCUUCUCUUUGAUUAACAAUGCUAAGAAAAUCUUGAUCGAAGAGGAAAUGAACAACAACAAACUCCAAGAUAGUGGAAAGAAAGACCAGGGAGCAGGUUUCGAAGAACUUCGUGAGAAUGAAAAGGGAGAGAAUGAAACGAAAUCUCUUCACGAAGAAAGCGUGGAUAAAAGUCUCCCUGAUGAACCUCUUCCUGGCUUCUGUAAUGAAAGUUUGGACGAUCAAUUUAUUAAUGCAGAAAGCGAAUGUCCUCAUGCUGGAGAGCUGGACAAUGAAACUGAUCACCAACCUUCGUUGCUGACCACUCCUGAACUUAUCGUUGCACUUUGUCGUUAGGGAGAACAAACUAAAUUACCGACAGUUGAAAGUGAAACGAAAAUCACCGGCGAGAAAGAAUCCGUCGAUGACCUCAGCGGCAAUGACUGUGUUCAAUCCUGUAGUCAAAAAAGUCUCAGUGUGCCAGAGAUAAACGUUUGCGACGUGCCGGGUGCUGAGGCUGACCCCACCCAGGUGUUGAGUCCCGCCGCGUCUUCAUGUCUCGAGAAGCCUCGGUCUGACUUUGAAAGUGCUUUGCCAUUGAAACAGGAAUCUACUAAUGAUCCAGUAGUGAUCAGUGAGAAGGCAAUCUCUCGUGAUUCAGAUGUUAUAAUUCCUGAAAUGAACAGUGUUGAGGAUACAGGAAAUACAGGCGAUGAGGUAUGGUCACCCAAAUGAUAACAUCAAUCGAAGGGUUGCGGCACCCGACGCCGUAAAAAAUCGUAAGGCUGGUAGUCAAGGUUUGAAACAGAAUACUGGAAAUAAUUAAGAGUGAAUUACCUGACGGGGAAAGGCCUCCAGUUGUUCCUCACGUAUAUGCAAAAGUUUUCAUAUCAAACCAAAACGAUGAUGACGAUUCUUACAGGCAUAACGUUGUCGUUUCUGGAAAUGUCAUGGAUUCAGAAACCCCAGGAACGUCAAAUCGGAAAUGUCAAAUGGAAGAUCAUGAAGACCAUUUUGAGGAAUUUGUUGUAACAAGUAGUAGUGGCUUUAUGACAAAGAAAAACAGGAAAUAUAUUACCUGCAAAAAGGAAAAAGAGAAUGCCAGCACGAAGGAGGUGGCAGAUAAGAAAACUAAGACUAAGAACAAGAAUGUUAAAGCAGAUAAAAACGGGAAAGAAAAUUUCGUCAAAGACUUCGUGAUUUAUUCUGCUGCUGUCUUCGCCAUUCAGAAAGAGGACAUAAAAUAGGAUUGUUUAAAAAUAUUGACAUUCCGACAGGAAAGGACCUGAUAUUUAGACUAGAGUGUAUAUAUUUGUAAAUUAUAAUAUAAUGUAUAGAAAUAAUUUUUUUUAUAUAAAGAAGAAAGAC